rnacentral:lncRNA from 1 species
AUAGUAGGUGGGUUGGCACUAAACAGGAAAAAGGAGGGAAAGAGGUUGAAUAAUGUAGAAGCAUGAUUUGCUCUGAUACCACUUGUUGAAAACGUGAUUUUCUCUGAUAUCAAUUGUUGGAACUGAUAUUUGUGCUAAUACCGAUUAUAUAACCCAAGAUCUAAAAUCGAACAAAAUAAUAUGAAGAAGAGAUAUUGGAGGAUGAAAAAAUAACUAAACUAAUACUUUAUUAAUAAAAAGCAAUUAAUUACAUUCUGGGCAACACCCAUACAACCAUAUCUACUAUGGCUUUUCAUCUAUUAACCCAUGCCUAACUAUAUUUCGAUGGUGGAUAAUAUUACACACAUUUUGUCACGCCCCGGGACCGGCGAAGGCCCUCCCGGUAGCGUGCCCAGACCCGCCAUAUGUCUACACAUAUAAGGCGUCUAGAAUAAAAGCGGAAGUAAAAGCAAGUAGUAUGACAAAUAGAAAAAGUGAAAUAACUAGCAACUAAUGAUAUCAGAGCAAGUAAGGUUCUAUCAUCUAUACCAAAGUAAAGAAAAUAAAGCUAGUCAACCAAAGAUAACCAUAAGUAGUACAAUAACCGUCUCUAGAACAAAAAUGGUGGUCUCUAUACAUAUACGGGUACAACUCUCAACCUCUCACAAAAAAAAACCACGAGAGGCAGACCACCUAUCGAACGAUCCCUCGGUAAACGCGCUAGCCCGAGGCGAUACCCUUUUCGUGAUCCCUGGCCUCUCCCUGCGUGGAAGGCUCUGAAAAACAACGAGAAAAAGAGGGCGUGAGAACUAUAAUUUAUAGUUCCCAGUGGGCAAUUACUGACCUCAACUCUAUGCACCACUAGACCCCAAAAGAAAAGGGUAAGUACAAUAAUAAUAGCAAUACUGACUGCGAUAUAAGGCAUAAUUAAAAUGCUAAAUUACUAAACUCAAGUAUAAACGAUGUCAUGGUGAUGUACAUCUGCGAUAUCAUAAUAGUAUGUCCAAUGGCAAUAGCUGAGUGUCAUUAACCUUAUCAAUACAUGAUGCAUAAGUUCUGUCAUGGCAACCAAGUAUGCUUUAAUGCAAUAAAAGACUAUCAAGUAUACUGCAUGUCUCAACACUAUGCUAAAAGCAUAUAAAUGUAAUUCAACUACUAAACCUAACUAGUAGUGAUUAACCAUUCUCAACACCGUGUCGAUUUCCAUUCCAAUCAAGGACCUACCCAAGGAUAGUCCAGCUUGUGCCGCCUAAGUGCCUGUGGUAGCCCAACAUCCCUACUCUUGGAAUGUGUCUGUCCCACUCGACCCCGUAGGCUUCUCAAUACCGCACGAGCGAACAUAAGUCGCGUAGGCUAACUCCGGAGUGCCGGCUUGUAGGGAGCGACCCUCACAAGCAUGUGCGAAUGAACACAAUUGGCAAGCAAGCAUAGUCCAAGUCUCAAAUAUCCAAUCCUCAUGUCUCUAACAUGGUAUGGUCACUAGCAUCCCGAAGAUCUAGUUUAAGUCACAAUGUGAAGUUUCAACAUUUGCUACGCCUAGUGCCCCUUGAUGACACUUAGGCAAUUUGAUGUUCAACAUGUAUUCCCAAAUUCCUCAAUGGCCCUAUCCGCUAGGUUCUCACAUAUCCCGAGCUCAAUGCCGCUUGAUGACAUUAACUCUCUAGUUCACAUACCUUCUAAAUGGCAAUUUUAUCAACUUUCAUGCCACAAGUAAACUUAAGUUUAAAUGCAUGAAUCCGAACUCAUUUACACUAUAGAAGCAUGAAACCAAGUCUCAUAAAGAAUGCUAAAUGCAACCAAAGAUCUCCCAAGCAACUCUCUACUACAUAGAGGUCCAAAAUUUCAUCAUAUGUAACAUAUGCAUUUUAAGCAUUCUAAAAAUCAUAAUAAAUACAUUUAGUAUGAACAUGCAUGCUUUUUCAAUUUACGGAGCAUAUAUAACCAUAUAUGAGGAUUUCUCAUAUGUAGGCUAGGUCAAAUCCACCGAACCGUCGCGUAGGGUCUCGAUCCGCCGAACAAAGUUGUCCCCGAGUCUCAAAAUACCCUAAAAGUAUUGAGCGACAAGAUACAAGGGCAUUACGAUCAACUAUGAGAUCAAACAUUAACAAAUUUAGCAAAAGGGCUAAAACUCACCCAAUGAGUGAAAAAUCUCUCUCAAGCUCCAAAAGAGAGCUAAAUCCCUUCCAAUCCAAGCCCAAGAAAGGUUCUAAACCAACUAAUUAAGCUCCAAAAGCCCUAGAUUCAAAACGCCCAAAAUAAGCCCUAAAACCUCAUUCUAGGGUUUCAUCUCAAACCAUCAACAAAAAUCCAAUCUAAAGGGAGAGGAUAAGUGGACUACCUCUUAGAAGCUUCAAUCUAAGCUCUAAACUCUUGAAAUCCCAAGAUCUUCCCUCAACAAUCCACCAAGACCAAGCUCCAAGCUUCACAAUGGUGGAAAAGCAAAGAAAAGGGAAAAGAGAAGGAUCAACACUUAAAUCGCAAGCUAAAAAGAGAUCAAAUCCAAAGGGGGUGAAGGGGAGAGGUGCCCUAUCUUUCCUCCUGCAGUGGUGAGCUCAAAGGAGGGCCCUAGAGGCGUGGGUGCUGAUAUAAGAGACCCACAAACGCAAAAACACCCCUGCAGUUCAAACUGCACAAAAUCAGCCUCCUUAUACCGGUACACGGGCUCUUGUACCGGUACAAGGUCCACGAAAAUGCAAACCCGAGGCUCGGGUCGCGGGGUCUGCGGCUCUAUACCGGUACAAGCCCGAUGGCUGUACCGGUACAACCAUCAAUCCUUGUACCGGUACAAGACCAAUCUUGUUCCGGUACAAGCUCUGCUGCAGGCUAACCCGAGAGCUGUCCAAUGAAUCCAAAUUUUGGAUUUUGGUACCAAGCUUAAAACCACAAUUCUCGGGACUCGAACCAUAGUCGGAACACUGUCAACGACCCACCAGAAAGUCUGGAAAAGCUCGACACACAGAUCAAACACUCGAACCUCGCAAUUUGCAAAGGCCCAGUGUGUUACACAUUUAUAGCCAUCUAUAUAUAGGCAUAAAUCAAAAUCCUAAUAACAAUAAUUGAACCAAAUUUAAACUUAUCUCUUAUGUCUAAUCAACAAAAUAUUAAGAGAUAAACUUGACAGAAAUAAAUCUAAACUAAUCAAAAAUAUUGGGUUACUUAUCAAAAUCCUCCAUUAACCCAAUUUUUCGAUGUAAGCGGCUUCGUAAAUAUAUCACUUGAUUCUCGUUUCUACAAAAGUGUAGUUCGAUCUCGUUCUUCUUCACACAAGUUCUCAAAUAUAAUGAUAACGGACUUCAAUAUGUUUACAUCUUUCAUGAAAAAUUAGAUUUUUUGCGAUUGCUGUAGCCUAGCUAUUAUCACAAAAUAUUUUUGUAGGUGCCUUUUGACUUUCACCAAAUUCUUCGAGAACUCUUCUAAGCCAAAUUGCUUGUAUAGCGCUUGUUGACGCCGCCACAUAUUCGGCUUAUGCUGUCGAGAGAUUUACGAUAUCAUGUUUCUUCGAUGACCAUGUGAAUGCGCCGCUUGCAAGAAAAAAUACGUUGCCUGAUGUGCUUUUCCGUUCUUAUAUGUUGUCUGCCCAAUCGCUAUCAGUGAGUCCGAUUAGUUCGGAUUUGCCACCGUAAGCGUAAAAAAUACUAUAGUUAACCAUUCCUUUUAUAUAGCGUAAAAUACGCUUUGCUGCCCGUAGAUGCAUCUAAAUCGGCUUUUCCAUAUAUCUGCUGAUCAACCCAACACCAUAGGCUAUGUCAGGUCUAGUUGCGGUUGAGUAGUGCAGGCUACCCACCAACUGUUUGAAAUAUGUAGGAUUAACGAGCUUUCCAUCUCCUUUCUUGUUGAGCUUUAAUCCAAUCUCUACUGGGGUAACGACCGGUUUACAAUCCACCAUCCAAAACUUUUCAAGUAUUUCUCCUGUAUAUUUCUUUUGAGAAAUAAAAUACUUUGAUUUUUUUGUGAAACUUCGAUGCCCAGAUAAUAAGCUAUAUAGCCCAUAUCGGUCAUCUCAAACUCAUUAGUCAUGCUCUUUUUAAAUUCAUCAAAUCAUAACAGAUGAUAAAUCCAAUUUUACUUUGGAUAAUUACAUAUCCUAAUCAUAAUCAAAUAAAAAAUUUAAACUUAUCUAUAACUAUAUUUUAAUUAAGUUUGAAUUAUUAUUUCCAACAUCCUCCCUUAAUCCAAACCUCAUCUCCAACUUACAAAUUCCGUGAAACGCGCACUUUGAUUUUGCAAUCUAUGUUGCUGUUGUUGUCGUCGUGUUUGAGUUAUGCAACAUGACGCAUGUCCAAUGAUGUUGCCAUGCACGAAAUUUUUGCCAUCUGUAGUUGUGAUUAUUCACAUCAUCCUUAUAGAUAUGUGAAUUCCUGCAAAUAUCUUGAAAAACAUGUAUUUUUGAAAAAAUUGCAUCGAUAUGAAUUUUGUAAUUUUGUAGUAGACGAGGAAAGUCUAAUCGACACGGAUGUUUGUUCGAUACAUUGAUCUCGUAUGAAUUUUCAUGUGCUUUCUACUUUCGUAAGUCUAAUUUGUGAUUUGCAUCUUCGAUCACAUCAAAAUAAUGGUAAACUUCCUUCCUACUUUGCUGUAUAAUUUCUUUAUCAAUAGAAAUUUUUUCAAUCAUAUUAUCAUAGUGAACUUUCUCGUCGAUCUAAGCUGCACCGUUUUGAUCAUCAAUAUACUCUGCACGAAUAUGAUCUUCUUCAUAAUUUGAUAAAAUUUUUCUUUCCAAAUUGGGGUUUCUGUAUUUUCGCUGUUAGGUUGAAUUUUUUCUUCUUUUUGAAUUUCAUUCUCUUCCUGCAAAUAUUCUCCUCCAAUUUUCGAUAGCAUUUUGCACGCUUCUCGUAUCGUCUUUAUCGUUAAAAUUUUUUCAACGAACGAUAGAUCCACUGCUUGAAAAAUAUAUGAUAAAACUUCUCUAUCUCCUUUUCUCAAUUCUUAUUUACCAAAUUCUUUUCAUAAUUUUCAUUCUCUACUACAUCCCAUAAAUCUUGAGAUUCUAAAAAAUAUCGAAUGAUGAUUUUUCAUCGUUUAAAGUCCGUUCCAUCAAAUUUUGGUAAGAAAUGUUGAAUAAACCAAUUAUCUAAAUCCAUAACAAAAACUUGAAAAUCUGAAAAAUAAGUUUUAGAUUUGUACCUUUCAGUUUGGAUGAUAUCCUUAGUUCAUCGAGAUCUCGGCGAAUUUUCUGUACUUCGGCUUGCUUGCCUAGCCCUCCUGGCUAUCUGGUCAAGUCUUCUUGGAUCACUUCACGAGCUCUCCUUACUCUCUUUUCUUCAAGCGUCGCAACCACCUGCUAUCGUGUGUUGUGCCGAGGCCAACUUCUUCAAAGCAAUUCAUUCGCCUUGGGUUCACCUGAACGUCACCUUCAUUGAUCAAACAAGGCCCAAGUUCGAAUUCUAUUUGAUUCACAUUUCCAACUAAGUUUAUUUCUAAAUGAAAUAAACGAAGGGAAUAGCAUGCUACCUAUCUCUCAAAAAAAAAGAAACUACAAGUCGCUUGACUUUGACGUAGCUAUUCGGUACAUUGGAUUUAUAUUCUUUUCGAAUAUAUUAAUUGUCAUCUGGUUUAUAAGUCAUAUGUUACUUUGCGGCCCUGAUACCAAUUGCAGAAGCGUGAUUUGCUCUAAUACCACUUGUUGAAAGGAGAAGAGUAUAAAACUAAAUCUUUAUUAAAUAUUCUUGGACUAAUUUCGAUGGUGGAUAAUUUUUCAUGCAUUUACAGCCGUCUAUAUAUAGGUAUAAAUCAAAAUCCUAAUAACAAUAAUUGAACCAAAUUUAAACUUAUUUCUUAUGUCUAAUCAACAAAAUAUUAAAAGAUAAACUUGACAUAAAUAAAUCUAAACUAAUCAAAAAUAUUGAGUUACUUAUCAACAAAUAAGAGUUAAAAAAAAAAAAAAAAAAGCUACAUUUAUAUGUUUCAAAAACCGUGUAUAUCUUACAUUCUCUCAUCCUAAGGUUUUAUAUAAUUUAAAAUUUUUGUAUUUAAAAUAAGGAGAGACCCCUGAAGUGUAGGCUAUUUUUUUUAUAUAUUUAUUUUAGUAAUUAAGUUUCCUUUAACUUCUAUUUUUUAAAAUAAAAAUAUUGUUAAAGUUUAUGCCUCAAUUAGCUAAUACCAAUUAAGUAAAUCGAGUCUAAAGUAUUAAAUUUGAUAAAAAUCGUCAAUUGUUUUAGUUAAGGUUAAAAUUACUUGAUUCUAAAAGAUCAAAAGUUGAAGUUAUCUCAAUAAAAAUAAAAAUAUAAAAAAAAUAUAUAUAGUUAAGAGGGCUAAUUAAUAAAUUGCCUAAUGUUGAGGGGCCUUCAUACAUUUUUACCAAAAUAAUAUAAUAUAUACUAAUUAAAGACAUCUCGGGAGGCGAGGUUUGCAUUGAGAAAUAAGUGGCAUGAGAAUAAAUGAGAUCUCAUUCCGAAAAUUUUGGUUUACCUCUAAAUUUUCUUAGACAUAUUUUUGGUAUAAUAUAAAUUGAAGGAUAAACUUUAAAUACCAUUCACGUGGUUUCAAACUUUUUUACUUUAAUACCAUGUAGUUUAAAGUGUAUUAAUUUAGUAUUAUGUUGUUUCAUUUUUCUCUUUUCGUCAGCCCUCUGCUAACAUUUCAUUAAAUCGUGUACAAAAAACUUCAGAUACUCUACCUAAGUUCAUCGAAUAUUCACUUUAGUACUUUUUAGUUUUAACUUUAUUACUGAUUAACGAAAAAAAAUUAGUGGAGGGAUAAUAAAAAGAAUAAAAUGAAACCAUAAGGUACGAAAGUGAUAUAUUUUAAACUAUAGGGUACUAAAGUGAAAAAGUACGAAACUAUUGGGAUGGUAUUUGAAGUUUUUUCUAGAUUGAAAGAUACUUUACUUGUCAUUCCUUGCGUUAGAUUUAAUAUGACAAAAUUAAUAUAUUCUAAAUAUGCAUUAAAUAAAAUUUUGAGAACGUGCGCUUUCUAUUGAUAAAUAAAAAAAAAAAAAUAAAGGAAUGAGAUUUUUCGAAGUAAAAUGAUAUUCAAUCUAAAAAGAUGGACAAUUUUGAAAACAAAAAAUAACAAAACUUUCACUUUUAUAAAUAGUGUAGAGACUUUUUUUUUUUUUUUUUUUCCUUCCAACACAGGAGGCUCUAUAAAAGGCUUGUUGUUUUCACAGGAUCUUAAACAUCUCGUUGGAUGUUUUAAUCAUCUAAACUAUGAUGGUUUGGUAUAUUUUUAUAAGGCGCGGAUAUAUGUAAAUUAUAAGCCUAAUAUUAAAAAUUGUGUUUUAUUGUAAAUAUAUAUAUAUUGCUCAAAAUCCGUUUGUUAUUGAAGUUUCUCUAGCGCUGCACGUACGGAAAUAAAUAGAAUAUUUUUUUAUCAUAUUUUUUUCAUCUUAAAAAAAAUCGCUAUCUACUAAUAAUUAAUAUUUUGUUAGACUUUUUGUUUCACCUGGUACUAACUACCAACACAUAAAUAAUGUACACCAUCAAAGAAAGUCAUUGUCGUUCCCAAAUACUCCAAGAAGUACUGAUCAUCUUCUCUUCUCUACAAACUCUUUCCCUAAAUUUCCACACAAAGGCCCACCAUUGCCCAAAUUUUUCUCAUGCAUUUCUUGUUUAUUUCCUUAGCCCUUUCAAUUAAGAAAUGGAUAAUGUUGCUUAUUCUUGGCCAAAGUAGGAGCAAUUCUUGAAGUUGGUUUCACAUUGGUGAGUUUAAUUAUAGAGUCCAGCUAGAAUGCUCUUAUAAGCAUGGAAACCUACGUUCUUCUAAAUUAUUUUCGAUUAUAAGACUUUUAAAUCGAUGAUUGAUUUUGUUAGCCUUGAUCUAAAAUAUUUGAAAUAUCUAAACUAUAAAUUUUAUGAUUUUUCGAUAUUAUUUACAUAGUGAUCGAGAAUGCUAAAAAUCAACUUAUUUUAAUAGUUGAUGUGAGUCGUUUACAAGUUUAAUAGUGUACAAUUAUCAAAAUUAAGUAAAAUUUUGAUACAAUACUCUUUAUACUAUGUAAAAUAAGAUCUAUAUCUUUUAUUUAAAAUUUUAGUGUUAUCAUUAUUUUUUUGAGAUUUUUAUUUUCAGCUAUUGAUUUUGAGUUCUUUUGAUCACUAAAUGAAUAAUAUUAAAAAAUCACGAAACCUAUGUUUUAGAUAUUUCAAAUACUUUAAAUCAAGUCUAAUGUAGCUUAUCAUCGAUUCAAAAGCCCGAUCAUCAAAAAUAAUUUGGAAGUACAGAAACCUUCUUUCUUUUAAAAUGACUAGCUCAACUCUUGAUUAAUAUAUCUGAUUUAAAAUUUUAGUAUUAUAUACAUCAUUUUUUUUGUGAGAUCUUUAUUUUCAACUUUUGAUUUUCGUUCACUAGAUAAAUAAUAUAAAAAUAUCACAAAAUUUGUAAUUUAGAUAUUUUAAAUACUCUAAAAUCAAGUCUAAUAUAGCUGAUCAUCGAUUCGAAAGUAUCAUCACUACAAAUUUGUGACUGCUAUUUAGUAUCGGCAAUGGGCUAAAACUAAUUUAAAAGUAUAGAGAACUUCGUACUUCUAAAAGCACAAGCUAAACUACUCUUAAUUAUAUAUCAUUACAUACAUGUCC